UACGAAGGGGGCUAGCGUUGCUCGGAAUCACUGGGCGUAAAGCGCACGUAGGCGGACUUUUAAGUCAGGGGUGAAAUCCUGGAGCUCAACUCCAGAACUGCCUUUGAUACUGAAGAUCUUGAGUUCGGGAGAGGUGAGUGGAACUGCGAGUGUAGAGGUGAAAUUCGUAGAUAUUCGCAAGAACACCAGUGGCGAAGGCGGCUCACUGGCCCGAUACUGACGCUGAGGCACGAAAGCGUGGGGAGCAAACAGGAUUAGA
rnacentral:rRNA from 1 species